rnacentral:rRNA from 1 species
UGGCCGUAAACGAUGUGGACUUGGUGUUGGGAUGGCUCCGAGCUGCCCCAGUGCCGAAGGGAAGCUGUUAAGUCCACCGCCUGGGAAGUACGGUCGCAAGACUGAAACUUAAAGGAUUGGCGGGGGAGCACCACAACGCGUGGAGCCUGCGGUUUAAUUGGAUUCAACGCCGGGAAGCUCACCGGAUAAGACAGCGGAAUGAUUGCCGGGCUGAAGACUCUGCAUGACUAGCUGAGAGGUGGUGCAUGGCGUAGACGUCU